GCCCCAGUGUUGAAAUCGGCAGACAAAUCGGACUUAAAAUCCGGUGCCUUCGGGCGUGUGGGUUCGAGUCCCACCUGGGGUA
rnacentral:tRNA from 1 species